AGUGAACGCUGGCGGCGUGCCUAAUACAUGCAAGUCGAACGGAGUGGCGCACGGGGGAGUAAUGUAUAGAUAAUCUGCCCUACACUAGAGGACAACAGGUGGCAACGACUGCUAAUACUUUAUAGUGUAGGAUGACGCGAUAUUGUAUCAUCUAGGUUGGGAGGUAAUGGCUCACCAAGGCUAUGACGCAUAACUGGUCUGAGAGGAUGAUCAGUCACACUGGAACGGAGACACGGUCCAGACACCUUCGGGAAGCAGCAGUAGGGAAUAUUGCUCAAUGGGGGAAUCCCUAAAUCAGCAUCGCCGCGUGGAGGAUGACACUUUUCGGAGCGUAAACUCCUUUUGUUAGGGAAGCGGUACCUAACGAAUAUGCACCGGCUAACUCCGUGCCAGCAGCCGCGGUAAUAC
rnacentral:rRNA from 1 species